AGUCGAGGGGCAGCACAGGUAGCAAUAUUGGGUGGCGACCGGCAAACGGGUGCGGAACACGUACGCAACCUUCCUUCAAGCGGGGAAUAGCCCAGAGAAAUUUGGAUUAAUACCCCAUAAGAAUGUGACCUGGCAUCAGGCAGCAUUUAAAGAUUUAUCACUUGAAGAUGGGCGUGCGUCUGAUUAGGUAGUUGGUGAGGUAACGGCUCACCAAGCCGACGAUCAGUAACUGGCGUGAGAGCGCGACCAGUCACACGGGCACUGAGACACGGGCCCGACUCCUACGGGAGGCAGCAGUAAGGAAUAUUGGUCAAUGGACGAAAGUCUGAACCAGCCAUGCCGCGUGGAGGAUGAAGGCCCUCUGGGUUGUAAACUUCUUUUAUUUGGGACGAAACACUUUCUUUCUAGAGAGCUUGACGGUACCAGAUGAAUAAGCACCGGCUAACUCCGUGCCAGCAGCCGCGGUAAUACGGAGGGUGCAAGCGUUAUCCGGAUUCACUGGGUUUAAAGGGUGCGUAGGCGGGCAUGUAAGUCCGUGGUGAAAUCUCUAAGCUUAACUUGGAAACUGCCAUGGAUACUAUAUGUCUUGAAUGUUGUGGAGGUUAGCGGAAUAUGUCAUGUAGCGGUGAAAUGCAUAGAUAUGACAUAGAACACCAAUUGCGAAGGCAGCUGGCUACACAAAUAUUGACGCUGAGGCACGAAAGCGUGGGGAUCAAACAGGAUUAGAUACCCUGGUAGUCCACGCCCUAAACGAUGAUUACUCGACAUACGCGAUACACAGUGUGUGUCUGAGCGAAAGCAUUAAGUAAUCCACCUGGGAAGUACGACCGCAAGG
rnacentral:rRNA from 1 species